ACGCGUCAGGAGCGGAGCAAGAGUUGUUGUUGUGGCUGUAGAAACCUACCCUCUGAGAUUAUCGUUAGGAUUAGAUUUAGUUCUUAGAGACUGUUAUUAUGUACCUGCAGUAAGCAGAAAUUUGAUUUCUGUUUUAUGUUUAGCACAAGAAGGCUAUGUGCUUAACUUUCAUAAGGACUAUUGUAACAUAUUUUAUGAAAAUAAUAAAGUUGCAAAUGGUUUUCUUAUUAAUGGUCUCUAUCAGCUACAUAUUGAUGUAUCUGUAUUUCAUAUCGAGCAAAAUAUGAAUGCCAUGGAAAUUAAAAGGCCUAGAGAUAGUCUAAAUGAU
rnacentral:lncRNA from 1 species